GAUGAAGAACGUAGCGAAAUGCGAUAAGUAAUGCGAAUUGCAGAAUUUCCGUGAGUCAUCGAAUCUUUGAACGCACAUUGCGCCCUCGGGUAUUCCCGAGGGCAUGCCUGUCCGAGCGUCAUUAUCCAACCAUCAAGCUCGGCUUGCGGUUGAGCCCCGCACCGUCCCCGGGACGGUGGGCUCGAAACAUGUUGGGCGCCCCUGAGGUUCUCGGUGCAGCGAGCUCUCGAGCACGUGCCGGGCAACCUCUCUGGGCGUCGGCCAACCCCCCAAUUUCUCAGGUUGACCUCGGAUCAGGUAGGAAUACCCGCUGAACUUAAGCAUAUCAAUAAGCGGAGGA
rnacentral:misc_RNA from 1 species